rnacentral:rRNA from 1 species
AUUGAACGCUGGCGGCAGGCCUAACACAUGCAAGUCGAGCGGAGCGGCGGUCGGGGGAGUAAUGCCUAGAAAUCUGCCUGGUAGUGGGGGAUAACGUCCGGAAACGGGCGCUAAUACCGCAUACUAUCAGAUGAACCGAGGUCGGAUUAGCUAGUUGGUGGGGGAAAGGCCUACCAAGGCGACGAUCCGUAACUGGUCUGAGAGGAUGAUCAGUCACAACGGAACUAGGAAACGGUCCAGACUCCUAAGGGAGGCAGCAGUGGGGAAUAUUGGACAAUGGGCGAAAUCCUGAUGCAGCCAUGCCGCGUGGGUGAAGAAGGUCUUCGGUUUGUAAAGCACUUUAAGUUGGGAGGCGUUACCAACAGAAUAAGCACCGGCUAACUUCGUGCCAGCAGCCGCGGUAAUAC